rnacentral:tRNA from 4 species
GGCGCGUUCGUCUAGUGGCUUAGGACGCCGCCCUCUCAAGGCGGAGAUCGCGGGUUCGAAUCCCGCACGCGCUA